rnacentral:lncRNA from 1 species
AGUGUCACCGCCUCCCCGCCGCAGACACUAUCCGACAAAGGAGGGGGAAUCAAAGGCUGGGCGAAGAGGCAGGGCAGGCGCCGGUGACGCUGCUGGGCAAGCGGGCUCUGCAGUAGCAUUUGUGGCGACCGUGGCAGUGGCUGUGACUGGAAGCUUCUGGAAAUGGCGGCGAUGAGGACCCCCACAUAGGGAUGGCCAUAGCAGCCACAAAAGGAAGCAAACAAGAACAAGUCCUGAUGGAGCAAUUUAUGAAGACAGGCAGCAUAGAGGGAGAAGAACCUGUCUGUCAACCCCACACACGCUUUCCCAGACGUCUCCUGAAAGCUGAGCAUUUGUUAUCUUAAAGCCUCUUACCAGUUUGGAUAGAUAUGGAUCUUCCAAAAUUAAUGAGCUCCUUAAUAUCGACACUGUUUAUCAACAUAAAGGAUCAAUUUAGGAAGAUUAUAAAAACUGAAGUUUCCGGAACAAUAAAUGGGAGAAUUAAUCUUCUGAAUCAAGGACGUAUCCCUGAAUCUGGGGAGCUCUCUAUCAAAAUAUACAUGCUGGAACCCUACCAAAGGAAUAAUAAAUCUGGAAUGAGGCUCUGACUGUCUAAUUAGGAAAAGACUCCUUCCUGGAAUUCUGCACAUCUCCCUACACCUUAGUGACGGUUAAAUAAAUAAUUAUUAAGCUUCUGGA